UUCAGAAUUAAGCAACCGGUAGAUGAAGUGAAUAUACCUGGCGCUAUGGAGAACCAAGGAUAUGAUACUGAUCUUAACAUCACGGCUUUUGCAAUGCAUGAUAUUGAUACCAAUAUGUUUGGAGCAAGUGGAACAUACAACUCAACUACAUCUGGAAAAGAAGGCUUCUCAAAUCCUACUUAUUCAAACCCAUCAACGGAUUAUCCAAUCAAUAACGAUACAACAGCGUAACCUUUCAAAAACCGGCACAUGUCUUUUCUUAUGCAUCUUAUGCAUCAAUUAAAUUACUUAUUAAUAAGUUGCCUACUGAAUUGUCCAAUUUUCAAAGCUUUUGUACAGAGGCAAUCUAGUUUUAGUACGCGAAGGGUUAAAAAUACAAUUUUUAAUGACACAAAAGUGUAACCCUUCAUUUACUAUUAUCCUAUUGACUAUGGAAUUCUCUGACAAUCUUGUGAUUGUAGGCAAAGGGGUAAAAAUUCCUUUACAUUUUUGUUAUAUUUCAAGAUGUGCUUCAGCCAUCAAAAGCUUUUCUACCUUUUACAUUGUCAUUUUUUUAUAGUACCCAUGUACGUUUAGUAUAAUAAUAUGAUAGAGAUUUCUUUCACGAAUCGAAUCCUGGACAAAUUUUUGAUAAUGAUAUUGCAUGUAUUUGUACAAGGGAAACUUGUUAUACUCUGAUGAAUAACAUGUCAAAGUUUAUGUGUCUAUAUCAGUAAGUAGCCCUUAAAACAAUGUAAACAACUCUGAUUUUUUUUCAUUUUAUAUGUAUUUAAUUAAUAAUUCCAGUUUGAAUGUGAUUGUUUCAUGAAAUUGCAAUACGUUAUGUCAAUAAUGAUUCAUAAUAAUUAUCAAAAUUGAAAUUAUGACAUGUAUGUACAUUAUAUUUUGUAUAUAAUAAAGCUAUCAUUAUCAUGCACAAGGCUGUAUAUUUUGAUGUAGGUUGUAUGUACUAAAAGAGAAAAGAAUAUGUGUGCUUUAUAUAUUUUCAUUUUCAUUAGAAAUUGGGCAUUGCACGUAUAAAAAUA